AGAGAUUCCUGCACCAUGAUUAACAGAUCCAACCAGCCUCGUAGUUCACCUCAGCAAAAUGGGGGAGUGAGGAUUUUUGUCUUUUUUUCUGUCCAAAUGGUGCAACAAGAAUGUUCCUCAGGAAUCUCUGUCUUGAGUAAUAAACUCCCUUCUUUUGAAAUCCCAGGCCUUGUGCCCAGAGUAGACAGAUUCCCUAAUAAAGAUGGAAGCGUCAACUCUGAAGCAAGGAUACUUGGUAAAAUGAUUUUAAAACUGACAAGAAAAAGCAGCUCGAAGUGGCCCAGCAAGUUCAGAGAAAGUCCGCGCUGGCAGGACGCACGGAGGCGGUGUGAUGAGCUGUGCGCUGCUGACACCACGCUGAGUGAACAGAGGAAGGCUCUUGCUGUGGGUCAAGACAGGCUGGAGCAGAAGCCUUGAAAGCAGAUAGGAAACCAACGCAGUGGUCUUUCGUGAUUGCUGGGAAACUGAAGUAAAAUACGGAAAGCUGACAGCAAGAGGGAAUACUUCUCCCCAGCCUGCAGCCUUGUUGCACUUAAGGAGGUCCUCUCUUUCUUCCCUUCUUCAACAAUAAGGUAUUGCAUAUCUCUUUCCUUUCUAUUUCAGCAAUUAAACUUAUGUACAGCAAUGUCCGUAUCUUUAGCUGGG
rnacentral:lncRNA from 1 species